UAGGGAAUCUUCCGCAAUGGGCGAAAGCCUGACGGAGCAACGCCGCGUGAGUGAUGAAGGUCUUCGGAUCGUAAAACUCUGUUAUUAGGGAAGAACAAAUGUGUAAGUAACUAUGCACGUCUUGACGGUACCUAAUCAGAAAGCCACGGCUAACUACGUGCCAGCAGCCGCGGUAAUACGUAGGUGGCAAGCGUUGUCCGGAUUUAUUGGGCGUAAAGCGAGCGCAGGCGGUCAAUUAAGUCUGAUGUGAAAGCCCCCGGCUCAACCGGGGAGGGUCAUUGGAAACUGGUUGACUUGAGUGCAGAAGAGGAGAGUGGAAUUCCAUGUGUAGCGGUGAAAUGCGUAGAUAUAUGGAGGAACACCAGUGGCGAAGGCGACUCUCUGGUCUGUAACUGACGCUGAGGCUCGAAAGCGUGGGGAGCGAACAGG
rnacentral:rRNA from 1 species